CUUAAGUUAAAAAAAAUAAAAGGAGGGAAUUGGCAGCAGAUGCUAGCUCAGGGAGAAUCUUCUGCAGCAAAAAAAAACUUGGUUUCCUUAGCCAUGUAAGGUUCUGAUAAACUUUCUAACUUCAGGCAUUCCUAUAAAACAAAUGUAACCACAAUAAUAAACUUCAACAAUAAACACAGGGCAAAUUAAGCUGCGUCUUUCCAUGAGUUUCUAGACUAGUAUUUAUUCUCUUAGUCAUUUAUUAGUAUUUAUUUCUUAGUCAUCAUACCGAUAAGUUAGAAGUUGAGAUAUAGAGGAAAAUGCCCAGUCUCUCUUUCUUGCUUUGUAUUUUGAAUGAAAUAAGGAAUAGGUAAAAAAAUAAAAUGGAGAUGAAAGUAAAAGCCUUAUUGUUGGUUGUCAGGACCUACUUUCUCCCAUAAAGUAGGACUCUGGUAAACUGUAUGAUACAGUGAGGCUUCCACCCCAAAUCCAGGUGGCCUAUUAGCUGCUUUGGAACAGAUUUGUGGGCCAGCCCAGCUUUUCAGGCCAGGUUUAACCUGACGCACCCAACCGGCCUCAGGAAACUUGGAAGGCAGAGAGAAUGGUGUUCUUUCUUUUUUCACAACAGGAGGUCCUGCCCAGGUGCGCCUAAAAGGUAAAGAAAAAUAAUGAGUGGCCUGUUAGACCUGAACACAGGCAGGUCAAACUGCUUUCUGUACCUGAUCCUAGCUACGCGUGAGCAGUGGCCUUUAACACAUGAAUGCCGUCUACCAAUAGAAUCUGAUUUGGUGACUGUCAGACUCUUUCCAAUCAGAUUAGCUGCUAAUCCUUUCUUGGGGAGGAACAUGCUUCUUUUUACACUCAUGGAGUGAGCAUGGAAACAAGUCUAGAUUUUCAUCUCUCAGAUGAAACUUGCACUUUGUUGGGGUGCACGAGCAUGUGCAGACCUUGUAAGUGUAUGUAGCUAGUAGGCUCUCCACCCCAAUAUUAAUUCUCAUGCAACACUAUCCUAAGAGUGAGGGUUCCAGAUGUCAUUUACUUCCAAUUUAUCUCCUUGGUGUUGAUGGAGCUCAGUCUUCUCGUAUUGUUUCUGAAAUAAAGUUGGACAACAAGCCGAAGGCGAAACAAACUGAAAUUCUGUGAGCUAAAUACGAAAUCACUAAAUGAAUUUUGAUUCUUUAUAUUGGAUUUAGGACGUCCUUAUCUGUCUCUGUUUUCAAACAAUUUGUAUACAAAAAUGUCUAGCUCUUAUAGCUCUUUCACUGAAGCUCAUUAAUAUAGGACAGUAGCUUCUAAAAGAUUCCCUCGACUCAGACUUCUUUUUCUUAUUGUAUUGAAAACCAAAGACAUGUAUAUUAUAGAAUCUUAAAGCUCUAAGUGAUAUCAGUUAUCUGGUCGAUCCACUUAUUUUAAAGGAUUAAUCAACUGAUGCCUACAGCUUGUGGGUGACUCGUAAGCCCAGUGUCAUGUGGCUGGUUGGUUGUAGGGCAAAUCCUGGGAUGUGGGUUAUUUGUCCCUUUUAAUUAGGAUUUAUUCAAAUAUUCAAAUAAAGGAGAGCGGUGAUACCCUUAGAAAUAUAGAGCUGUAAGGUAAGAUCAUCCCCAUAUCUUGGCUCUCAGGCCAUUAUCUUCUCUACAAGUGUAGAUUUCUGGCAGAGAUUAUCUCAGAGGGAGGACACCCAUGUGGCCAGGGCCUCACUUUACAGAAGGCCUAGGAUCUUAAAUUUAAUUUUCACCUUAAUUUUCUUUGGGUAGCACAAGAAUGUUGCCUGACAUUUUUAGGUCAAAAGUGUUAAUUUGUUAUAUAUUUAAUUUGUCCACCUUUAUUUUGGCAUUUUUUUUCAGUUUUUCUUAUCCCAGUUAUCUCAAAUACGGGCAUAGCUGGAGUCUCUGGGGAGCCCUGAGUGGUUCUGUCCAUGGCUGUUGGCCACGUAGCCCACAUGACCAGGCGCGUGUUGCUCACUGGGGGAGAGCAAGUUGUGCUGUUUGAGUGCCCUCACUAUCAGAAAUUCCAGCUGUUCAAACCCUAGCUUUCUGAAUCAUAAGAGGCUUUCAGAAUCACUCAGGACUCAAGAAUAACUGAACAAAAGCUAGAAACCAUUACCUUGGCAGUGAAACAGCAGAAAUGGAAACAGCAGAGAAGAGCACAGGUUGUGAAGGUUAGAGGAGGUUCGCUGGAUGCUGGAUGUUGCACAGAUUGGCUGUCUGUGUUUUCAAAGGACCUGUGAAACCUGAGAAGCAUUCAGGGAUGGGGUGAGGCAGAAGCUACCGAGAAAAGAAAAGCAGAGGGGAAAAAGGGAAGAGAGUGUGUGAGGAAGAGCAGCAGUGGUGGAGAAAGAACCAGUGGGAGGGAUAGCAAAGAGUGGGCUCUCUGAGGAGAUGAACUCCGAACACCAGAAAAUUAGCCAUUUAUUCCCCAGGACUCUGUAAAGGAAUACCAUGUGUCUACAAUGGGAUAUAUGGAGGGGGGAGGGGAGCGGGGGAUGGAGAAAGAGAUUCACCCGAACUUAAUCUCUAAGGUCAAUCAAAAGCCAUGGCAACCAUAGGAAUUCUGCACAUUACACAAGGUGAACUUGACUGAGGCAUUGUAAGUUGUGUUUUGAUACCAUUGUAAUGUAUCAAUCAGGCUAAAUUGAUUGGAAAAAAAAGAUCCUCUUAAGUUACCUGGGCGGGGUUGGGGGGGGCGGUGAGGAAAGAGGCAGUGUAUUUUAAAGAAAAAUGCAGAGUGGAAGUGGAUCUUUAAAGUCCUUGGGGCUCAGGGCAUCUUUCCUCCUCAAUGUGUUUCUCCUCCUCAGGCCUGGCCUUUUCUCCUCCCCUCUCCUCCUCCUCCUUUUCUUCUCCAGCCUCUGUCCCACUACCUCCCUCCGCUGUUCUGUUGCCUCCUUCUCUUUUUCUUCCCCCUUUCCCUUCUUCUCUCUUGGCAGUUCUGCCUCUCUCUCUGCACAUCUAAUUCAUUCUGUUUACCACCAGGUGACUUCCUCCCCCUCCUCUCCGUAUCUUUACUGGUCCCUCCAAACUUUGGAUUACACGUGGCAUUGUUCCACCAUUAGCUCACUGCUGACUGGCACAAUUUCUUGGUGUUUCCCUUUAUUCAUUUUGAAAACAAAGAAUCCCAAUGGCUUAGCUCACCCUUUCAGAUCUACCCACAGGCUGUGUCAUGUGCUAGACUUUGAAUCAGCUGUCCAUGCCUCUGGUGCUGAUUUUUGGGCCACUCAUCUAGGGGCAGGGUCAGGGCAGGGUCACAGUGGUGUGAAAUGUGGAUGCUUAGGCAAAGGAGACUGUGAUUGGGAUGAGGAGUUAGGAGAGAUCCUUUGACAUCUCUGUUGCAGGCUUCAGCUCAAAAGUGUUGUAAGAUGAUGAACAUAAAUGCAGUAGAACAGAGCUGUGCUAUAGUGUUAUAGAAUACAGUGUGGGACAACACAGAUUCCAUACUUCAUCUAUCAGAGACAAGCCCAGACGCAUAAGGAAGUUGUGUUAGCUGUAAAAGAGCAAACAAUCGUUGGACUUGAGAGGUUGAUGAAUCACUAUAACAUUCGUUCAUCUCGCUUAUAUGAUAUCAAAUCUUAGAAAGGCAGCUGUUCACAUUUUUUGGUGCCUGGUAAAUCAUCUCAAGCUGCUGCUGAUUCAAUAUCAUGCAUAUGACAAAAUUAGGCAAGUCAACUGUGUGUUACACGAGUGGCUCAUUUCGCCUGAUGUUCUAUUAAAUUUUCAGCUGCAUCUCCAUCUCAGACACGUAACAUUAACUGAUGUUCAUAAUGAUAACCCUGAGUCAUUAAGGAAAUGUUGUAUUAUGUCUGGUACAGUACACUUGAGACAUAAAGAGAUACAAUGGAGAAAGAACUAAGGCUUACUGCAUACCUGCUGAAUUACAGACACAGAGAGAGGUGAGCUGCUUACGCUGUUGCCCCAAAACAGCAGAAUCCUGGGAUGCAGGUACAGUUUUCCCUAUUUCACAGCCAAGAAAACGUGUUCAGAUAGAUCAAAUUGUCCCAAGUCGGGUGAGGAAUCCAAAUCUGUCUUACUCCAGAACUUGUGCUCUCCCCCUUAUGCACCACAAAUUUGUUCAAUUUUUUUAAUAAGAAAUUUUCAAGUUGGAAUUUAAGUGUGUUACUCUUAGCUAGCUGCCGUCAGCUAGUCGAUGAAUCAGACCCGAAAUACCCACAAAAGAAAGAAGAGAACUAACGUUUGGGGACAUGACCAUGCACGAUGAUUUAUUACUCUGUGAGCUAUGUACUAUUAUCCCUGAGUUAUGAGUUGAGGAAAUUGAAGUUCAUUGAGGCAAAAUGCCUUGCCCAAGGCAGCACAUUUAGAAAGCUAUGGCUUUAGUCUCCUUUACUGGCUUCUCUUUCUCAAUCCACUACUUAAAUGUUAGGUUUUUUUAAUUCUGACCUCAGCUCUUUUUUCUUCUCCUUCAAUAUACUUUUUUGGGGCAGUUUUAGAUGUAAAAAGUUGGAAACAUAUAACUGUAGACCCCACCUCUCUCAAGUUCCCUACCUAACUUAAUACUUCCUCCUUCAAAUCCUAUGGGACACUCAAACUCACAAUAUGUAAUUCAUUAUUUUCAAGUCUCCAGAUGUGUCUCCCACCCCACAUUCCUUGUAUCAGUGAAUGGUCCCAGUUUACCAAGCAAGAAGUCUAUGCAUCUUCCUGCUUGAGUCAACAAAUGCUGAGUGACUACCCACUGUUAUCUUUGAUAUUCAUCUCCCCUUUUCCUAUGCCAUUUCUUUAGUUUAGGCCAAUCCUAAAUGGCUGCAGUAGUCUUAUGAGUUUGUCUUUCUCAGUGCCAUUAGAGUGAUCUUUCUGUUGAAGAAUUUUGAUCAUCUUGCUUUUUGCUGACAGUUCUUCACUGGCUCCCUGUAGCCCAAAGGAUAGCAUCCAUACGUCUUUGCAUAGUACACAUGAUCCUUCAUAACCUGGUCUCUGUUUGUGUUUCUCAUCUUACCACCUGCCACUCACUCCAGCCUUCAUGAUGGUGUAAUAAUUUUCAGAUAUUUAUGGUUCUCUGGACAUAACAAAUAUUGUUGCAGUUUUCCAACUUUUCCUUUGUUAUUCCCUUCACCUUCUGGUUCACUUUGCUAUUCAGUAAGCUCUCUUUCAAAUGCUAUUUGAUUUUUAAGCCAUUCCGUUUCUUUUCAGGACUGCUACUACUCUUCAUUACACUUCCAAAAAGCGGAUAUCUUAGUGUAGUGUAAUUACAUAUGGACCUUGCAUCCUUGCCUGAUAAUAGUGAACUGAGAUGCAGUAUGGACUGGGGUGGUCCUACUGUUCUUUGUGGCAGGCAUGCUUUCUGAUUGAUCAGGCAUCUGUUCUGAAUGGUUGGUGGUCAUGCCAGAGAGUUGUUAAAUAUUUUAAAUGUCAACUCCAACUUACCGCCAAGCAGUAUGUGGCAUAAAGAGGGUGAUCAGUAAUACCUGUUGAUUCUUGAAUUAUGAAUAGUUGAAUGCCUGACUUACGGCUAGCUGCAAAGCCCCAUCUCACCCCCUUCCUCUCACUAUCUCUGGUUGUACUGCACCGAACCAAACGGGUCCUUCUAACAUAUCCACCUGAGCUGGUUCUGUACUUUAGCAAAACAAAGAACAAAUGUAUCUCAUGUCAAGCUCUCACUUAUUUGGAGAAAGUUUGCGUGUCUUGUGGAGGCUUCAUUCUUAACAAACUAAUAUACUCAUUUCCCUCAGUUAUUUCUCAAAAAAUUUUAAGACCUCAUACUGACCAUAGAUUGUCCUCUAAUUAUCCGAAUUUCCACUUACAGCACAGGAAUGAGAACUAAGAAUAGUAAAUCAUUGCAGGAUGAAGUAAGAUGAUUGGUUCCCGUGAGUUGGAAGGGCACUGGCUGAUAUUGAUGCAGGCUUGAGGACUCCGGCUCCCUUCACAACUGUAUCACAUUGACUUGUGAUCGCUUAAAGCCUGGGGUUGUAUUUUAUUUUUUUCAUAUGAACAGCUGUCAGAUCAGGUGAUUUUACUCCCAUGCUUAUACAAUUGAGUCUUAAAAUCCAAAAUGCACCACUUUAAUUGUGUCCCUGCCCAUUUUAAUAAAUAAAUUGAUACUUCUGAUGAUCUCAUCCUGCAUACACCUGUGCUCUCCCUCCUGGUUUGACAUUAUCUGCAGUUUGACAAGUGUGUUUUCUAUAUCUUUCUUACAAAUCACUGAUGAAAAUACAAAUAGCUAAGUAAAACACAGAGCCCUAUGUUACAGCACUUUUUCUCCAACUUCAGAUGAUUUAUUAAUUAAUAUUGUUUGCGUACAAAAUGUUUGAGUAGAUUCCUGACUCUUGGGGUGUUUUUUAUUUCUCCCUGUCUCAUUCCUCUACCUUGGCAACAAGAUAUAAUUAGAGACUUAAUUCAAUGCCUUGUGUAGAAUAGAGAGUACCAGGUCUGCAAGUUUACUUAAUCUCUCAGUUUACCUGCCCUUAUUGGAUAAGCAUCGUCGUCGUCGUCGUCAUCAUCAUCAUUCAUCUUUUGCAAUCGAUUUACAUAUGUAAACCCCAGUCUUAGUUGUUAUCUGGGCCCCAGUGCUACAUCUCAGAGUGAUUUUUCACUUAGAUUAACCUUCAAUUCCAUGACCUGGAAGGUGCAAGUUCUCUCCAGCUUCCUCUUGAGUCCCAGAGGAGCCCACUCCUAUGGCCUCCUCUGCCUGUCUCCUCUCAGCUACCUUAAUAAACUCAGAUGCAAACUAAUUUCAACAAGAUAUACUCUUAUUAUUCUGAGAUUUCUGUCAUUGCCACAAAGUUUCCUUAUGGGUCAGAAAUAAAUUUAUGGUAGACAUUUCUUUUCCUGCUGCCUCUACAUAUCAAUCAUUUUUCUGCAAAGAAAGUGAAAAUGUAUUGAAUGGGAAACUUUGAAACAUCACACAAUUCUGUUUCUGUGUUGUGGGCAUAUUUCAUGUCUUUGAAUGGCUACUUUUGUUCAUUCCCGUGUUAGGAACAAUGAACUGUUAUUAUAACUGGUGUAAAGCAAGAGUUUCCAAGAUACAGUUAAUUGGUAAUUUUAGAGAAUUGAGAAAAAGAGAGGUUAAAUUGAUCUUCACUUGGGUACCAUCCUUUCUUUGCCCUGAGAAAUGAAGAACUUUAGCGUAUCAGGAGGCUGAUACUACUUUUCUUGAUAUGGCCUUAGUUAUGAUAAAUAAGGCUUUAUUUUAGUGGGUUGUUAAAUUUUAGGAAAGUAAAACUGUAUAGAAUAGUGUUUGUAGAAGCAUAGCCUCACGUUUAUCGUCUGGAAAUGUAAAAAGGUGGUAGGUAAUUUAAAUACUGAAGGACGCAGUUUAUCAAAUGGUAAGUUAGGUGCAAAAAUGACCUUGUGAAAAGAUGACUCUGUUAAUGGAAGCCUUUUAGUAAAGCCACUACACCCAUGUGGAAAUAGAUCAAACUACACAAAACUACCUUACUUGGGACGAGAUGGAUUUGAUAGUGGACAUGAGUGGCCCUUAGGAAUGGAAGCUUUUGUGUUUGUACUGCCUCUGUGCAUCAGUUGGUCUUACCCAACAUAACCAAAGUAAAAAAGGCCACUAAAAAUGUUUCAUUUUAUUUUGCCUUUAAACAGGAAUUCCUACGUCUAGUGUAAGAUAGAUGCUUCAACUACUUCAAUCUAUAUAUUGUUGAUAUUAAUAUAUUGCCUUGCUAUUUUCAUUUUAAAUGUCAUUCUAAAGAGUAUAACCUCUGUAAUAUUGAUAUUGAAACAUCGCUAUUUCCAGUCAUGCAAUUAAUCCUAAUUAAACAUUAGUACAAAACCUGGCAGAUCAGGAAGUUUUUAGUUCCAUCUUGAAUAUUAUGAUUGCAGAAUUAAUUUAACAAGCCUGUUUGGGGAUAAUACAUUCCAAGAAGAGAUUUAAAGAAGCAUCAAUUUAUUCAAAGGGGUUAUAUCUGCUUCAUAUGCAUUCUUCAGUGGUAUUCAGGAAACAGCUGUCAGAUAAAUUAUAAAAAUACAUGAUAAACAAAACCAACUCAUCUUUUUAAUUGAUUUUAAUCUGGCUUCAUCUAGGCAGCAUAAUGCUCUUCACUCACUGAUAGUAGGGUGAAUAAUACGUGUGCAAUUACUUUGCAAUUCACCACGACUUAAAAAUACGCAGAACCUUCAUCUAUUACUAAUAUGGUCUAAUGUCCAUAGUGGCAAAUUAUUGGUGGGAGCUAUUGAAGAUCAACUGAUAGUCAUACUGCUUUGUUCAAAUUUAAUUUCAAGAAACAAAGGAAGAUACUUGAUGACUGGUAGUAAUAGCAAUGACUUAUGGGAAAUUGCAACUGAAUAAUUUAUUGAUUGAUUGUGACUGAAAGUCAUUAUCCUCUGAUGGCUGUUCGAACAGCUAAUGUGAAACAAUGCAACUGAUGUCUAUCAUGAAACCUCUGCCAUAUUAGCUCUUUCCUAAUUGUUGCUUUUAUUCCUUGCAGCUGAAAAUGGAACAUAAAUGGAAGAGUCAUGACUGUAAACUUGGUUUUUUGCUGAUGGAGGAAGUGCUUUUCAGUUUUCAAUGCCUGCAAAUUAAGAAGGAAAAGAUUUUAUUUAGUUACCGAAGAGAUAUUCAAUAUUAAAUAAUGAGGAAUAUCAAGGUUCCUUGGUCUGACGAUGUGCUUUGUGAUAUUCAACAUCAGAGAUUUGGUCCAUAAUGGAAGUUUAUCAAAAUGUCAACAUAUCAGGGUGCAAUGGCAGGUUAGUUUUGUAUUCCUGUCAUCUUGAAAUUGAUCAAAUGUUUAUUGCCUGCCUGUCUUGUGUGUAGAACUUGACCAUUAUCAUAAGCAUAAUAUAGGAGACUCAACUAUUAGGUCUAAUUGGCUGUUUCUCAGGUUGCCCUCCUCACAUCCUUGCAGUUUUCAGCCUUACUUUAAUGAUUUCUCACAAUGCACAAGUACAUCUUGAAUAUGACACUUCUGCAAAAGGGUUUUAUAGGGAGUAUAUGGGGGAAGAGUGUGUGAUUAAAUAGUUAAUAGGCUUUUCACUCAGUGAACAUGUCCAUGAACCUGAUAUGCAUUUGUUUUGACAUCUCAGAAAUGACGUGCUAAAUGACUUCUCUUGGUUGUUGAUUAGCAAGACUCCAUCUAAAAUUUUCCAUCAGAUUUUUCUCCCCCUCAUUUGGAUGUAAGCCUAACUAGCUGCUGAACUGGAGAUGAGAAGGAGAGAAUGGGUUGGUGGGGGCAACCUGGUUUGACCUGUUGUUGGGGUGAGUACUGUAAAUCCUAAUCCAUCUGGGCUCAAAUGACCAGCAAUUCUAUUUUUUUGGAAAUCAGUAGUCAUGAAAUGAAUCAUAAUAUGUAUAUAUUUAUGAAUAAUUACUGGAGGGGCAAAUUACUAUUUUAUACUCUUAAAAAUCCAAAAAAUGGGAAAAUUGCUAGGAAAAUUUAUCCACUCCUUUUAUGAGAAAUGUUUGGAUUCCUAUCAAGAAUGUAAGGUUCUGAGAUUUUUGUCCUACUUUCAGGCCAACAAUUUAGCCUGCAACAGUUUCAUGGCACUUGCCAGCAAGAGACAUGACUCUCCUGGAUCAGAGACAAAGAGUUUAUUACUCACAACACAGUCAGCAACAGGAAAGUUAUUAUCCUUCCAGGUGCUUUGGGGAUGAUGUGAAUAGGUCCAGUGUACAUAGUUGAUUUGUGUUACAUCUGAGGAAACUUGAGUUUAGGGAACCUGAAUCUUUUAUAAUGGAUACUAAGCAAAUCUGCCUCCACUUUUUCUGGAGAGAGCCAUUGUCUUGACUAUACUGGGCAGUAAGGAAACUUGCCUUCUGUUCUCGUGGGAGACACUUAAGUGCAUCUUCUCAAGCCAUUUGCUCUGCUCUCAAUAUGUACAGAAAUGAGAGAGACCUGUAGAGAUCUAGCUCCUCAUGUACUUGCUAUGCACUAGUGAUUGUGCAAUCUUAUGGCAAGAUGAUGACCAGGACUGAUAAGGCUCUUGAUAAGCUUGCAUAAGGUAUAUGUUUCUGACUCAGAUAAAAUAAAAAGAAUAUAUGGUAUGGAAAACAACACCAGUGGAGAUGAAUGUGAGCCAGUUUUACCAAUAAAAUUUUCUAAAUAGUGUAACUAAGGCAAGAAUAUCUUUAACUCCAGGUUGAAUUAGUAUGUACUGCCAUACAUCAAAUUUAAGAGUGCUCUUAAUCUUUGACUAUACAUGGAAUAUAUAUUUUGAUCUCAUAUUGUUAGUUUAACAUGUAUAUCAUACAUAUACAAAUUAAGAUUGCUUUUGGAAUUGUUUUCUACCUUUCAAACAAUGUAAAAUUUUUUUUUAAAUUCCUGCUACAAAUGGUUGUGAUUUUCCUUUAACAGUCUGUGUUAAAACUAAAAGUGCUGAAAUUCAAAUUGUUAUAAGAAAGGAUCAUUGUCAAAUAUUUUUUGAAUUUUAUAGUAAUAAUUUUGUCUGUAUAAAAUUUCCCUUGAUCUUAUUUUUUCUGAAUUAUUUUAAAAAAGUUUGUUUGGCCUCCCAUACCUUUGCAUAAACCUUCAGUGACUUUGGUAAAUUAUAUCCUAGUGAAAUUAUCCACCUUAAUUAUCACCACUUUCCAACCACAGAUUAAAAAGCUUACCUGCACCUAAAAUAUCUCCAUUACCACAUUCCUUUAACCUCAUCAGACUUUUAUCAUCUCUCAGGAACUGUCUGUGUUAAAUGAGGUUUUAUAGUCAAAUUUGAUACAUGCCCUUUGGUAGGUUAUUCUGGAAAUUUUUAUUGUAUUUUAUGGUAAGAUUUUAUAUCAAACUGUAAUAACUUCUCAUUUACUCAAAAUUUUUGGAUAAUAUAGUAUUCAGGUUAAAUAAAUGUCCUGGUGGGCUGAAAAUUGUUGACACGUAUAGCACAACAUUUGCAAUACAUUCAUAACAAAUUUUAAAAGGACUCAAAGAAAAUUAAGUACAUUUCCUCUUCCAUUGCUUCUAGUCUCUUAUUAUGAAGAAUGGUAAUUUCUAAAUAGUUUUGAAGAUUUAAAGUAUUUGACAAAAUCUGCACCCACCCAGUAUUCUAUUUACUAUUAGCUCUUUUUUCCUAUGAGUAUGGUUACUGUCAUGUUUUACUUUGAAAUGCCUGAAUACAAAAUUCAUGGGAAAAAAUACUGGUUACUUCUAUUUUGUGUUUAUUAGGGUUUUGCAUGAAUAGGACUUUUAGUGAACCAGAUUUUCCUGUAUAUAUUUUAAGAUAAAUUUGUUGCAAGUAUUUAAAAUUAAUAGAAAUGUAUAAUGUCAUAGAACUAGAAGAGACUUUAGCAAUGAUCUAGCCCAACAUCUUCAUUUUACAAGUGAGGAAUUUGGGACCCAAAUAAAUUAACAGACUGACUCAUCGUUUUCCAGAUUGUUGUUUAAAGAACUGAUGCUAGAAUCUCUCAGUUCAUUGCUCUUUCGUAACCAUAUUACGCUGAAUCUAAUAUGACAUUAAUUAUAAGAUGUACCAUCAUUUCACAUAUCGCUAAGAAAGAAAAAAGCACUUUCGAUAAAAUUAUGACAGUUUCAUCAGUGAUAGUCCCACUCAAAUCGUGAAAACAUCACCUCUGUUCCUCAUUGUUUUGAAACCUUUUUUCACGUAUUUGAAGGGAUUGGGCAAAUUUGUCCUUCCUUGAACUGCACUGAAUGGUGUGUGAGGCAAUCCUUUUGCACAAGUAUCAGUAACAAAAUAUAACACAGCUUCCUGUAACUAUAGCUACCUUUCUUUCUCAUGUUUCAUAGAGCACAUGUUUGUUGCCUUGCAGGAAAAUCAGUAAUUGUGGUCAUCCAUCCAAUGAAGAAUAUUUUACUAAGACCAAAUUUAUGUCCUGUCCUUUGUUGCCAUGCAUUUCAGAAAAAAAACAGUAAAUUUUUGUUUCAGUGAUGAAUCAUGCUAUAAACAUUUUUAAGAUAUUUUAAAUAGCAAUUAAACUCAACACAUUGUACCAAAUGCACGUGGCUCCAUUAGGAGGAAGACACUUUGCUUAGUUGUGACCAAGAGCAGGUAAUUGCAACUAUGUAAUACCUGUCCCUUGUGUUUGUCCUCCCAGCAUUUGAAAGACAGUAUCAAUUGUAAGCAGCAUCUUGAUUUUCAGAGAUGUUAAAAUGUAAAAUAAUAAUAAAAAAAAUCUGAGUCUUAGAAUUGGUGAAAUAUAAUACCUCCUUAAGAUUUGCUAGAAGGAUACUUUAGAAUAUUUCUUCUUAAAUAGUAUUUGUGCAGAAGACUGUGAUUAUUUAUCUGUAAAGGCUCUUUAUCUCUUGGUAGCACAUCCAAACAGAGAAACACAUAUGGGACUCUUGAUUACAUGCAUAUUCCAUUAUAUUUUUAUACUUUGCAAAAUCUAAUAGGUUGCUUAGUAAAUGCUCCUUAAUAUACAUGUUCAAAGUUCUGACUUAGUGUUUGGUAGGGUGCUCUUAUCUUAGAAAACUUAUUUACAUGUAAUGAAUGUCAUAAAUGGCCAUGGAUUUUUAAAAUUGCGAGUGGUUUAUUUGCCAUUAUUUUUCAAAAUUGAAAUAUAUUUCAAAUGAACAUAAUUUCAAAAUCAUUAAACCAUUCAAAGUGGUUCCUAGUUAUAUACUGUUUAUCUGAAUCAUGUUGUUAAAUAUUCAGUAAUAAAGGGUUUGAUUAGUUUUUUUUUUUUUAAUUCCUUGGUUUGGAAUGUACUGAGUCUAUAUAGAGGACAGGAAUUUAAUUUCAAAUAAGUUUUCAGACUGUUUCUGGCUCACCAAGUCGUAAUUACUAUUUUGACAGUUAUGUCUCAUAGACAUUUAUUUUAAUUGCAUAUGUUAGCAAUUCAUUUUGGCAUGACAGUCUCUGCCAUUGUUGUGUUGUCGAAUAUGCUUACAGAAACUAUGUCAGAAAUUCAACAUGUGGAGAACAGUAAUUAACCUGAAUCAUCAAUUAGCUUUUGUGAAUACAGAUGUCCUAUGUUGUUUUUUUCUUUUUUAAUUAAGUAAAAUCUCACUAAUCCCGACUGUCUUUCCUCACUCCCUGUUUCCAGCCCUCACAAAGUCGUCUUAAUUUACCUCCUAAAUACGUUUUGAACCUGUCCUCCUUUUGUCUCCACAAUCACUAGUGUAUCUUAACAUUACCUCUCAUCUGGGUUCUGCUUGUAGCCUGCUGUCUCCCCCACAGCCACUCUUGCUCCCUCCAGUUCAUUUUCCACCUUGCAAACAGAGAAAUGUUUAUAAAUGUAGGUCAUACCUGGCCAUACCUACUUGCUUGAAGUGAUUUGGGGGCUACUCCAUAGGAAAAGACUAGCAUCCUUAAGAGAGGCUACAAGACUGUGCACGGUCUAUUCUGCUACCCUCUCUGAGUCUUAUCAUGUGCCCUUGUCUCUGUCUGCUAGGCAGAGUGACCUGCAUCCCGUACCUUGAACGUAGACAUGCUUCCUCCUCCACAAGGCCUUUACACAUGCAUUUGUUUCUCCUGCCUAGAGUAAUCUUUUCACCCUGCCUCACUUUUCUUGGCUGGCUCCCUUAGCUUGCACGUCAGGUCAUUUCAAACAUUACCUUCUCUGACCACCCAGACCAGAAUAGGUCUUUUUGUUGUGUUCUAGUAGAGAAUUGAACAUGUCCUACAUCAUUCUCAUCACAGAGUGUGAACAUAUAUUUUUUGUGUUUAUUUUAAUAGAGUGUCUGUGCUGGACUAUAGUGAGCUUUACAAGGGUACGGAUUCUGUCUGUCUUUUUACCACAACAUUCCCAAGCCAUUGGCACAACAACUGGCAGACAGUGUGUGCAAUAGUUACUUGUAAAAAAAAAAAAAAAU